AUUGAACGCUGGCGGCAGGCCUAACACAUGCAAGUCGAGCGGAGCGGCGGACGGGUGAGUAAUGCCUAGGAAUCUGCCUGGUAGUGGGGGAUAACGUCCGGAAACGGGCGCUAAUACCGCAUACUAUCAGAUGAGCCUAGGUCGGAUUAGCUAUUUGGGGGGGUAAAGGCCUACCAAGGCGACGAUCCGUAACUGGUCUGAGAGGAUGAUCAGUCAAACUGGAACUGAGACACGGUCCAGACUCCUACGGGAGGCAGCAGGGGGGAAUAUUUGACAAUGGGCGAAAGCCUGAUCCAGCCAUGCCGCGUGUGUGAAGAAGGUCUUCGGAUUGUAAAGCACUUUAAGUUGGGAGGCGGAAACAAAAGAAUAAGCACCGGCUAACUUCGUGCCAGCAGCCGCGGUAAUUG
rnacentral:rRNA from 1 species